rnacentral:rRNA from 1 species
AUAGACGCUGGUCUUGAGGACUAAGCCAUGCACGUUGGCGCGCGCAAGCAAGCAGCGAACGGCUCAAUAAAGCAGUCAAAAUCGACUUGGCAGGAAGGGGCGGACAUCUGAGGAAACCUUCAGCCAAGACGGGGUACGGA